GACGAACGCUGGCGGCGUGCCUAAUACAUGCAAGUAGAACGCAGUUGCGAACGGGGGAGUAACGCGUAGGUAACCGCCCCAAAGCGGGGGGAAACUAUCGGAAACGAUAGGUAAAACCGCCUACUGUGAGAUGGACCGGCGUUGUAUUAGCUGGUGGGGGAGGUAAAGGCUCACCAAGGCGACGAUACAGAGCCGACCGGAGAGGGUUGUCCGCCACACUGGGACGUAGGCACGGCCCAGGCUCCUUCCGGAGGCAGCAGUAGGGAAUCUUUGGCAAUGGAGGGAAGGCUGACUGAGCAACUCCGCGGUAGGUGAGAAGGGUUUCGGAGCGGAAAGCUCUGUUGUUCGGGAAGCGGUAACUAACCAGAAAGGGACGGCUAACUACGUGCCAGCAGCCGCGGUAAUAC
rnacentral:rRNA from 1 species